AAAGAUGGUAUAAGGAAAAAAGAACGGCCGACUGAUAAAGGUGUUUCUUGGCUGGUUAAGACUCAGUAUAUUUCUCCUCUUAGCAUGGAAUCAACAAGACAGUCUUUGACUGAAAAACAAGCAAAAGAACUGAAAGAGAA